UACGGAGGGUGCAAGCGUUAAUCGGAAUAACUGGGCGUAAAGCGUGCGUAGGUGGUUAAUUAAGUUAUCUGUGAAAUCCCUGGGCUCAACCUGGGCAGGUCAGAUAAAACUGAAUAACUCGAGUAUAGGAGAGGGUAGUGGAAUUUCCGGUGUAGCGGUGAAAUGCGUAGAGAUCGGAAGGAACACCAGUGGCGAAGGCGGCUACCUGGCCUAAUACUGACACUGAGGCACGAAAGCGUGGGGAGCAAACAGG
rnacentral:rRNA from 1 species